GCCAAGUGAGUGAGGAGGCGGCGGCGGGAGGAGGAGGAAGAGGAGGAGCGCGGUCGGAGCGCGGCGGCAGCGGCACAGCGGCGCCCGGCGAGACCCCGACCCGCGGCGCAGGCGGCGGCCGAGCGGGCGCGACCGGCCAGCGAGCGGCGGCGGCGGCGGCGGCGGCCCGGCUCUUCCUCGUCCGGCGCCGAGCGGCCCGCGGAGACCCGCCUCCCCGCCGCCUCGAGAGGGAGCCGCGCCGAGCGGGCGGGCGGGCGGCCCGGAGCCGCGGCGGAAAGUGCCUGCGGGGCGGGGGCGCGCGGUCCGGCCGCCCGGCGCGGGAGCAGCGGAGCGGGACGCCGAGUCCCGAGCGGCCGGCGGCCGGGGCUCCCCGCCCCUCCCUCCUCGCGGGCGGCGGCGGCGUGCGCGGCGGAGCCUGGAACAUGGUCGGGGAGAUGGAAGCCAAGGAGAAGCCCAAGCCCACGCCGGAUUACCUGAUGCAGCUCAUGAACGACAAGAAGCUCAUGAGCAGCCUCCCCAACUUCUGCGGCAUCUUCAACCACCUCGAGCGGCUGCUGGACGAGGAAAUUAGCAGAGUACGGAAAGACAUGUACAAUGACACAUUAAAUGGCAGUGCAGAGAAGAGGAGUGCGGAAUUGCCUGAUGCUGUGGGACCUAUUGUUCAGUUACAAGAGAAACUUUAUGUGCCUGUAAAAGAAUACCCAGAUUUUAAUUUUGUUGGGAGAAUCCUUGGACCUAGAGGACUUACAGCUAAACAGCUUGAAGCAGAAACGGGAUGUAAAAUUAUGGUCCGGGGCAAAGGCUCAAUGAGGGAUAAAAAGAAGGAGGAGCAAAAUAGAGGCAAGCCCAAUUGGGAGCACCUCAAUGAAGACUUGCACGUACUGAUUACUGUGGAAGAUGCUCAAAACAGAGCGGAGAUUAAACUGAAGAGAGCCGUUGAGGAAGUGAAGAAAUUACUGGUACCUGCAGCAGAGGGAGAAGACAGCCUGAAGAAGAUGCAGCUGAUGGAGCUUGCGAUUCUGAAUGGCACCUACAGAGAUGCCAACAUUAAAUCACCAGCCCUUGCCUUUUCUCUUGCAGCAACAGCCCAGGCUGCUCCAAGGAUUAUUACUGGGCCUGCGCCUGUUCUCCCACCAGCUGCCCUGCGCACCCCGACGCCAGCUGGCCCUACCAUAAUGCCUUUGAUCAGACAAAUACAGACCGCCGUCAUGCCAAAUGGAACUCCUCACCCCACUGCUGCAAUAGUUCCUCCGGGGCCUGAAGCUGGUUUAAUCUACACACCCUACGAAUACCCCUACACGUUGGCACCAGCUACGUCAAUCCUUGAGUACCCUAUUGAACCUAGCGGCGUAUUAGGUAUGGCUUUCCCAACGAAAGGCUAAGAAUUCAAGAACGGUCUUAACUGAACCCUCAUCAGAUCUGAAUUUAACAAAUGCUUAGUCUCAGCAGCGGGGGGAGGGAAGCUUAGCCUAGCAGUCAGUGACUUACUUGCACUUUUGCACACUGAUAGAAAGUAAACGUAUGUUAUUAAUUUGGUUUAGUCUAUAAUCUUACAAAAUAACGGUAAUUUAUAAAAGAGUGUAUAGUAGUAUACUGACUGCUAAGUGUACUAUACUGUUUGCUUUACUAAUCACCUAAUUCAUUGCAGUUCAUACUUAUUGACUCAAAGUUUAAAACCACAAUCUGUAGGCUUUAAGAAUUGCUUAUAAACCUUUUUAAGUAAUAAACUCUGGAAGCGGUCUUAAGGUUAGCAAGUAAUUGUCAGUAUUAAACAUGGCAUUAUUUUUCAUCCUCCUGCAAGAAAGGCACUUCAGUGAAUAUGUGACUAGUAAAGCUUCAAGGUUGGAACUAGUGGAGUUCAUGAAGUACUGUGACUUGGGAUUGUAAAUGAAUGGAUGACAUAGGUUAAGGCCAAGAUGUUUGAAGUGAAUGCAAUAUUAAUAGACGCAUAUAUACGCAACCUAUUAUGGUUAAUUUUAAAACUACUGUGCCUUAACGUGUUUCUUAAAACGAAAUUUUUGUAGUAAAUGAACAUUUGAAAUCCAUUUUGAUAAACCUGCUGUUAAUGUUUGUUUUCUUUCCCUUGUGAAUGUUUUCUAACUUUGUCUUGGUGAUUGCAAUUUAACUAGGUGCGGUGGCUACUAAAGUUCGAAGGCACGAUAUGCGUGUCCAUCCUUACCAAAGGAUUGUGACCGCAGACCGAGCCGCCACCGGCAACUAACCUAUGACCUUCUGACCUCUGAACUCUUCACCCAAUGAUGACCUGACCAUGCCUGCCUGCUGAUCAGUUAACUGGUAAUCGCCUUUGCUUGCCUGUCGUCAGUGCAGCGAGCUGAGGCACUUGUCCGUUCGUCUUACCAUCUAACCAAACAAAAGACAAAGAAAUUGUCCUCCAACUCAGCUUUUGGUUUUUGUUGUUAUUUUUUCCUGUUUGGGUGAAAAUGGUUCUAGAACCUGCACUGAAGUAGUAAAGCAAUAAGGCCCAAUUCAUCCCACAGCACUGAUCAUCUUUCCAUGCCCCACCCUAAGCGAACGGUAAGAAGGCCUCCCUUCUGGAGGGAGGCAGACGGCCCUGAACUACUCAGUGACAGGCGGUUACUGUGAGGGACUUCCUAGGAGCCCUUUCCUCAUAGCGAGUCCAGCUCUGAAUGUACUGUGUGGUGAUGCAUCAUGCAUGAACCUUCGGUCAGGGAUGUCAGUGUGAAGCGAUUUCACAAGUACUCAGAAUUGGAUGUGCUGUUGAGUCACUACAGUGCCCUCAAAGGGCGGCAUUGCAGCCUUUCAUGUUGCCUGCCAAAUUGGAAGUAUCGGGAGUGUGCCAUGAGAGAAAAACUUGAUGAGUUUUGAAAAGUAAUGCAAAGAACAAAACUGCAACACUAUUUUUAAAAAGAUAAAUAUCUGAGUUAAAAUUACUGAACCUUUAUUUUACAGCUCCUUAAAAACAUAUGAGAACAAGGUACAUGCAUUAUGUGUCACAUUACUGGGCAAACUGUUCAAAUAUUUUUUUUAAACCUCCCUGUAUAGAAAAAAAUCAUUAAGGAUGUAAAAGCCAUGCUUGCCUAUUUGCUGUAUACAUGUAAUGAAAUUGUAGAUAAAGUGUAGUGCAUUGAAACAAAUGAACAAAAAGUAGAUACUUUUACUAUACAAGGGUGCUGGUGCAGAAAAAAAUAUAUAUAUUUUUGGAAAUGUAGCAUUUUAUACUUUCAAGUGUUAUAAAAAAAAAAAAAGAAAAAGAACAAAGAAACCCUUUAUUUCAUUAAAUGAUUUUUUCUGGUGGUUGUCAAGAAACAAAAGACCAAAAGAGCCUUUUUGUCUUUCUUUUUUAUUUUUUAAGUAUUGGAAUAAGUCUAAAGAAAAGGAAGUGCCUUAUUUUUCUUCAUGGUCAUUUAGUCAAGUGUCUCGUAAGAUCAGCUCCUCCCUCAGAAUACAAGUUAAUGCAUGUUACUCAGUCGCCCAGUAUGUGAAAGAAGAUGUGAGGGAGACAGAUGAGUUGAUGGUUUGAAUUUUAUAAUUUUUGCCACUUUACCUUGAUACAAAUUUGCCAAAUCUGAUACUGUGAAAAAAAUGGAUAAUUUUUCUAAUGCCUGACUCAUAAGUUUUGAAACAUUCUUUUAAAAUCAUAAUUGAUUGCUUUUGAUUAUUGCAAUAUUUAAUGUUACCCCAAAGGACUCUGAGAUAAAAACUGAUUUGAACAUCAGUUUACAGACAGAAUUCGAGCUCUUUUUUUAUUCGGAGACGAGGGUGUAUAACUGACCCAGACUUGAUCAGACUUCUUUCUGCCACACCAGGUCCCGGGGGCAGUCUCUCCCCUGCUAGUUUUACUAACCUAAUCUGCCCCCCCACACACCCCAACACACUUUAUUUUAACUUUAAAAGAUAGUGAAAAACUAGCAUCAUUGUGCACAUGUACAAGUACUCCAACUACAUCUGAGUUGAAGCUUCCAGUUUCUCAUGAAGUUCAGUUAGUGCUGUAGUUGAAGGGGUUUGUGCACAGAGCCUACAUCUAUCUAUCUAAACCCUCAAUUAACUGCUCAGUACCAGGCGUGGCAAAUAUCAAGGGGCAGUGGGUCCCCAGCUCAUCAGUCGUCCCUCCUACGUACCUGCACGGUCAAGGUCAGCAACAGCUCAGUGAGCACCGCGGUGACCGGCACCCUCUGUCCCUUGGAACCGGUUCAGUUCAUUUACUAUGCAAUAGACUCAUUGUUUUGUAGCCGCCAGCUUCCGUGUCAUGUGCCACUGCUUCGUCUUUCUGUUACACAGACAGUUGUUUUGAUUGAUUUACAAUAUGUGCUGUGCCAUUUUGAUUUUGAUUUUGGUUGGUUGGUUGAAUAAAUUUGCGACACUCAAACACUUGAGGUGAUAGUAGUUUAAAAACAGUACCAGUAUUUGAUCCAGUUUCAUCUCAGCUGUGUUAUACCUGGACAUUUUAGAUGUUUAUCAAAGGUCUUUUAUGGGGAAGAAAGAAAAUGUAUGAAAUAGAUGUGUGACAUUUAUGAGUAAUGUUGGCUCUGAACAAACUUUUGAAAACUUAGUUGAAACAAUUUUGGAUCAACUAAAAAUAAGCAUGACUUUUGAAAUCUCUGAAUGCCUUGGUUCUCAGUAUUAUCAUUCUUUAUUGAAUUUAUUUCUUAUUAAAAUAUGUAGUUUUUAAGACUUUUUUUGACAGUAUUAUGUAAUUUUCUAGCGUGGGUAGAUGGGAGUGUCGCUUGUAUGUUAUCGUACAGCUGACAUGUAUUUUUGUCUAUUCUUUAUUAUCUUAGUAGUUUCAUGCUAUGUAUGUACCAUAACCAACCUAUUGCCUAUGAGAAACAUGUAAGAUAAUGUAUUUACAGCCAUUGUUACAAGUUUAUAAUGUAUUUUUCUAUCUUGUUUUAUAUGUAUGUUAUAUAACACUCAAAAAGAAUUUUUUUCUUGAUUGAGAAAAGGAUACAAAAUGCAAAAUCCACAAUUUUGAUAACUGAAAAUUGCCAAUUGUUUUGCAGUACUUUAUUAUAUUGGGUGUCUUGUCUUUCUUGGGCUUUUUAGUUAGCUAAUGAAUGAAUACAUUAGAUACUUUUGGGUUUUAGUUGGGAUUUUACAUAGCUUGCGUUUUAAUUCUUUGGUUCUUUGCUGUUUCUAUUAACCCAUGGCAUUAUUUUAAUAAAUGUUAUAAUACCAACCUA